GAGAGUGUCUAACUUCCCCUGCCAACAGUCGAUGGUAAUGCAGCAGGUUGCAAGUUAUUAAUCGGAAUGUCCUUGCAGUAACAGCCCGCACAGGCGGUUUGUUAAGUCAGAAUAUGAAAUUGCCCGGACUCCAGCAUGGGAAUUGCAUUCGAUACUGGCAAGCUCGAGUUUAGUAGAGGGGGGGUAGAAUUCCAGGUGUAGCGGUGAAAUGCGUAGAGAUCAGGAGGAAUACCGGUGGCGAAGGCGCCCCCCUGGACGAAGACUGACGGUCAGGUGCGAAAGCGUGGGGAGCAAACAGGAUUAGAUACCCUGGUAGUCCACGCCGUAAACGAUGUCGACUUGGAGGUUGUGCCCUUGAGGCGUGGCUUCCGGAGCUAACGCGUUAAGUCGACCGCCUGGGGAGUACGGCCGCAAGGUUAAAACUCAAAUGAAUUGACGGGGGCCCGCACAAGCGGUGGAGCAUGUGGUUUAAUUCGAUGCAACGCGAAGAACCUUACCUGGUCUUGACAUCCACGGAAGUUUUCAGAGAUGGGAAUGUGCCUUCGGGAACCGUGAGACAGGUGCUGCAUGGCUGUCGUCAGCUCGUGUUGUGAAAUGUUGGGUUAAGUCCCGCAACGAGCGCAACCCUUAUCCUUUGUUGCCAGCGGUCCGGCCGGGAACUCAAAGGAGACUGCCAGUGAUAAACUGGAGGAAGGUGGGGAUGACGUCAAGUCAUCAUGGCCCUUACGACCAGGGCUACACACGUGCUACAAUGGCGCAUACAAAGAGAAGCGACCUCGCGAGAGCAAGCGGACCUCAUAAAGUGCGUCGUAGUCCGGAUUGGAGUCUGCAACUCGACUCCAUGAAGUCGGAAUCGCUAGUAAUCGUGGAUCAGAAUGCCACGGUGAAUACGUUCCCGGGCCUUGUACACACC
rnacentral:rRNA from 1 species